CAUACUUUGACCUUGAUUUCGCCAUCCUUGCCUGCCUGCAGGCCGACGAUUAGGGUUUGAUCCUGGAUCAGAUUGAACGCUGGCGGCAGGCCUAACACAUGCAAGUCGAGCGGAUGAAGAGAGCUUGCUCUCUGAUUCAGCGGCGGACGGGUGAGUAAUGCCUAGGAAUCUGCCUGGUAGUGGGGGACAACGUCUCGAAAGGGACGCUAAUACCGCAUACGUCCUACGGGAGAAAGCAGGGGACCUUCGGGCCUUGCGCUAUCAGAUGAGCCUAGGUCGGAUUAGCUAGUUGGUGAGGUAAUGGCUCACCAAGGCGACGAUCCGUAACUGGUCUGAGAGGAUGAUCAGUCACACUGGAACUGAGACACGGUCCAGACUCCUACGGGAGGCAGCAGUGGGGAAUAUUGGACAAUGGGCGAAAGCCUGAUCCAGCCAUGCCGCGUGUGUGAAGAAGGUCUUCGGAUUGUAAAGCACUUUAAGUUGGGAGGAAGGGUUGUAGAUUAAUACUCUGCAAUUUUGACGUUACCGACAGAAUAAGCACCGGCUAACUCUGUGCCAGCAGCCGCGGUAAUACAGAGGGUGCAAGCGUUAAUCGGAAUUACUGGGCGUAAAGCGCGCGUAGGUGGUUUGUUAAGUUGGAUGUGAAAUCCCCGGGCUCAACCUGGGAACUGCAUUCAAAACUGACAAGCUAGAGUAUGGUAGAGGGUGGUGGAAUUUCCUGUGUAGCGGUGAAAUGCGUAGAUAUAGGAAGGAACACCAGUGGCGAAGGCGACCACCUGGACUGAUACUGACACUGAGGUGCGAAAGCGUGGGGAGCAAACAGGAUUAGAUACCCUGGUAGUCCACGCCGUAAACGAUGUCAACUAGCCGUUGGGAGCCUUGAGCUCUUAGUGGCGCAGCUAACGCAUUAAGUUGACCGCCUGGGGAGUACGGCCGCAAGGUUAAAACUCAAAGGAAUUGACGG
rnacentral:rRNA from 1 species